GCGCCAAUAGCUCAGCUGGAUAGAGCAACUGCCUUCUAAGCAGUAGGUCACAGGUUCAAAUCCUGUUUGGCGCA
rnacentral:tRNA from 4 species